GUUUGAGCAAGCUCUAGGAGAUGGUGAAGGACAGGGAAGCCUGGAGUGCUGCAGCCCGUGGGGUCACAAAGAGUUGGAUAUGACUGAGCAACUGAACAACAACAGUGUUUCAGAAAUUGGUUACGACACAGGAUCUUUAGGCACUGUUGGUUUUCUACAGCUCUUGUGUCAUCACACAGGACACUGCUUGGCGUUGCUGUCAGUUUUGCUCCAAGGACACGUGAGUUCUUGUGUGCAAUUAGUUCUAAAAUAUUCAAAUGUUAAUGACUUUUGGGAAACAUCGCAUUAUACCACUGCUGUCUUCACAAUCACCAGAUCAAGGUUUGUAAAGACCGCCAACUGGGCACAUUGAUGAUCUGUUCAUGAUGGCUCUUUACUCAGCUACUGAACGGAGCCCAGCCCAGGCCCUCCCGGUGCUGCACAGACUCCCCGCACCCUGCCUGGUUUCCGGACCAAAGCCUGGGUGUCUGGAGCUCUGUUCCUCUUUGUCCUUCCUCUAGGUCUUUGCUCUCCCAUAUCUCCACCUGUAAGGUACUCAUCCCAAACUGUAUCUUCAGUUAUACACAAGACACUCUGAAAGAAGUCUGCAGAUCCACAUGAGACAGGAAUCAGGAAGCACUCUGUCUCAGGUGUCAAGUGUCCUCUGAAUUUCACUUCUGAAUUGCAACGUAAGCAUUUCUAGGACAAUAAAAACCACCAGGGCAACAUGGCGAUUUAAGAACCACAGGAACAUUUCAUAAAAAUCCUGCAUCGGCCCCUGAAGCUACUGAUGGCAUGCACAGGCCUCAGACUGUGAAGAAUUUCAGCUACACAGAGAAUGAGUGGGGAAAGAAGAGAAAAUACUACCAGUUCACCCUAAUUCCUAUGCAAGGAGAGUGAAGGUGCAGGACAGCCCACCGACUCCCUCCCAGCCCUGGUCCUAGAGGGAGGGCCAGCUGGGGAGCAGCACCUGGAGGACACGCGGAGCACUCCUCCCACAAAAGGUCAGCAACACUGAGACACGACCAUCUGAGGAGGUGAGGGUGGUUGAUCCGCGGCACAAAGGACGGUAGCAAAAAGCCACAGGACACGCCUAAAACAGAUAACGACCAAGCAAAACUGACCCCCAAAGCCAGCUCCCACAUGCCACCUGCGCCAAACAGAGAAAAAACUGGACACUGGUGAAUUUCCUCGCUGGCACCUUUUCUGCUACAUUUCUUUCAGCGCCUCUAUCUCUGACAUUCCGCAGAGAUUUACCUUAAAGAGCCUCUCCUCUAGCUUAAGAUACAAGAUUUCAAGAGUGGUUGGGCAGAGUGAGCACAGAUGAAGGCAGAAUCCAAACACUGAUCCUGGGCAGAGAACAGGUCCUGACACACUUGGAUGCACUGAAGCAAGAAUAUGUGAUAGGCAAAAACAGGCCCCGACGCACGGACAGAUCUCAUGGCGUAAGGUGAAGAGAUUCACUGCACAUGAGGGAGAACAGAUGUGUAAAUAAAGGACAAGAAACAAACUCAGACACUGAAAAGCCUCUGCCUUGAGAAUGCAAUAAAACCAAGAGAAUAAACAAAAGGUGACAAUGUAAAAUGAAAGGCUGAGUGUUAUUAGCAAUCUCGUAAGGGCAGGAAAAUAUCUUCAAGGGGAACUAGCUUAAGAGAAAAAGGAACAAGAGCGUAUUGGGAAAGUUUUUCUGAAAAUGGAUGAAAUGAACGAUGUCAAUGUGGGAUUUCAGUUCCAUGGGCAGAGAACGCUGCUGACACUGACUGCCUUCCAAGAUGCUACCAGAGGGGUUUAACACUUCCAUUUUAUUAUGAGUUCACCUAAAUAAUACUUCACAAUUAAGAAGAAAUCCAAUACAGUCAAUCACCAAAUAAUCUGUUUUUAGAUUUCAACAAGACAACUCUGGACCUCAAAUUCCAUGUACUGUAAUUUCCGAUACUUCAGAAUUUUUAAUUAAAAACUCAUUUAUGCAAAAUUAGUAUCUUUGCUCUUUGCCCUCUUAUUUCCAAUAAUGAAAUCAUUUGCACUUAAAAGUCAACCUCCUGUCUACAAAGUGUACUGAAAAUGCAGCUUUGCUUCUGCCUUGGUUCUAGUCAUCUGAUGUGGCUUUUAAGUUCUGAAACUACACGUGCCAGAAAACUGNNNNNNNNNNNNNNNNNNNNNNNNNNNNNNNNNNNNNNNNNNNNNNNNNNNNNNNNNNNNNNNNNNNNNNNNNNNNNNNNNNNNNNNNNNNNNNNNNNNUCUGAUGUGGCUUUUAAGUUCUGAAACUACACGUGCCAGAAAACUGGGAACAAAGUGACCUGGAGGUCCUGCCAGGGGUGAAAAAUCAGGCAACAGACUCUUCUAAAUAAUUAUAUAUUUAUUUAGCACUUCAUAAACACUUAUAUAUAAAAAUAGUCAACAGUCUCCCAAGAAAGAUCAAAAUAUGUGGGCAGAGACAGCUGUGCAUUUGAAGCUGAGGUUGUGUUUUUCUUGUUUAUAUUUGAAGACACCAGGCAAGUUAAUUUUAUAUCAUUGUAAGGACUUUCAGUCCGAGGUAAACUUACAGAUAUAUAAAUUCCUAUCCCACAAGGACAAUUCCAGUGGGUAUCGAAACUAUUCUUACAGAGAGGACAGUGACCUCUCAAGUUGAGUCUUCUAGUGACCCGCCCC
ensembl:lncRNA